CUGUGAGUUAGAACGCUCGUAGUCGGAUUUCGGGGCGGGCCGACCGGUCGCGAUGGGUACGCACUGGUCGGCGCGUCCUUCCUUCCGGAGACCGUGCCUACUCUUAACUGAGCGGGGUGCGGGAGACGGAUCGUUUACUUUGAAAAAAUCAGAGUGUUUCAAGCAGGCAGCUCGCUCUUGCAUGGAUUAGCAUGGGAUAAUGAAAUAGUGACUUUGGUGCUAUUUUUGUUGGUUUCGAACACCGAAGUAAUGAUUAAAAGGGACAGUCAGGGGCACUCGUAUUCCGCCGAGAGAGGUGAAAUUCUCAGACCAGCGGAAGACGAACCACUGCGAAAGCAUUUGCCAGGAUGUUUUCACUGAUCAAGAACGAAAGUUAGGGGAUCGAAGAGGAUCAGAUACCCUCGUAGUCUUAACCAUAAACCAUGCCGACUAGGGAUUUGGAGGAUGUUCACUGAUUUGACUCCUUCAGCACCUUACGGGAAACUAAAGUCUUUGGGUUCCGGGGGGAGUAUGGUCGCAAGGCUGAAACUUAAAGGAAUUGACGGAAGGGCACCACAGGUGUGGAGCCUGCGGCUUAAUUUGACUCAAACGGGGAAACUUACCAGGUCCAGACAUUGUGAGGAUUGACCAGAUUGAGAGCUCUUUCUUGAUUCGAUGGGUGGUGGUGCAUGGGCCGUUCAUNUAGUGGUGGAGUGAUGUCUGGUUAAUUCCGUUAANGAACGAGAACUUAGCACUGCUAAAUAGUGACGUGAACAAGUUCGNUCANGGGCCAUUCUUAGAGGGACACUUGUCUUACAAAAGUGGAAGUAAGAGGAAUAACAGGUCUGUGAUGCCCUUAGAUGUUCUGGGGCCGAGGCGCGCUACAGUGAUGCAUCAAAGAAUCUCACUGACCGAAAGGUCGGGAA
rnacentral:rRNA from 1 species